ensembl:lncRNA
CCGAGGUACAAGCGGAGUCCCGCUGGCCGCGUUAACCCGAGCUUUGGGCAAUAUGCCAGACAGGCUAACAGACCAGAGAAUGCUCACUCGCUGGCCGAAGGUCCCAGCGGCGCGUAAGCCUGCGAAAGCGGGCAACUGGGGCUGAGGGAGACCAGCUAAGGGAAGGGAGAGGCAGUGCCCAGGGAGGCGCUCACGGACGCACACACACAGCACUCUCGAAGACAGCCGAUGCAAACACAGCCACCUCCAAGUCAAACGUGUUGCAUCUGCAGCCAUCAUGGCCACCAGCUGAAUGAAUCUGCAGCUGCGGCGUGAGCAGAUGGAAACCUGACAUCUGCCACCAUGCUUAAAAAUCGAGACUCGUCAAACCCAGCAACAUUUUUUGAAUCUUCUGCCGUCCACCUCUUGUGUAAUCUUGAAGAAUUUACAGAAAGCCCAAAAAUUAAACUACCUCCAUUUACUGGUGAGUUCGAAAGCAUAAAUUAGGAAUUCAGUGAAGGAGACAUCUGGAUGUUCACUUUGAAAAGUCACUUGAUGUUUUAAUAUUUUUAUAUUUUGUUAUAUUUGUAACAUGUGAGAUGUUUUGGGUCACCGCUGUUUUGAUCAGGUCUCGC